CUGGUUCUCUCCGGGCAACAGGAUGACCAGCCCUGUCCAAACACAAAAAAAGGAUACUCUACCAAAACUUCCACGCUGACCUGUGGGAACAGUGAGAGACAGGGAGAGGGAAGGGAAGGAAGAAAUGAAGACAUUUUAUUCUUGUUUUAUUGUAUACAUUACACGUACACAGACAUACAUACGCAUAGGUGAAUGGAAAAAAAUAAGACUCAGUUCCCCAAACCUCCUCCACCAACAGAUGCAAAUGAGGUUCUUAACUUUCUGCUGUACCUGUACUUACCAUAUGUAGAUGUUGGGUCGAAGCCGGUAGAAGUCCAUUCAGCAUUCAAAAAUAUCGUUUUACUGUGUAUCAGCUCUACAGCUGGUCUCCAUUAAAACAAGCCAGUGGAGCCCCAAGGAUGACGGAACACCUACUUAGUGUUCGGCACUGGGCUAGGCGCUGCACGUGACUCAAGCCCAAGGUAUAUUCUUGUGUCUUAUUAGCUCACUGGACAGAUGCUAUUCUCGUGUAUAACAGGGCUGAAUACGGAUCAGAGUUAGAUUGUAUUUAAGCCCCAUAAGGCAGGCACUUAUGUGCUCACCACUGUGUCCCUGGCCCCUAAAAGAGUACCUGGCACAUGGUUGAAACUUAAUAUUUACUGGAUAAAUGAAUGCGUACUCUCGGAAUUUAGGGGGAGCAGAAUCAGGGAGGGCUGGAGAAAGCAGGGAGGGCUUUUCCAGGACCCCAAGGAUGGGCAGGAUUUGGAGUGGUUUGAGGGUGAAAUGAAUACAGACAGCUCAAGGGCUUGGCCCAUCCACAUGGGCAAGCCCCAGGUACUCAAAUCAGUCUCCCUUUUGUUUGAAAAACAAAUAUCAAAAGCAGGGGAAGCCCAGUAUCCUUUCAAUACCUGCCGUUUUCUCUAGGCUACUAUGUGCCAUUCACUGUGAUGAAUUUCAAGAAAUUGAAAACAAUAGUCUUGGUCACAAAGGAGUUCACAAUCCAAUGGGCAAAAGAGGCACAUGCACGAUAACUGCCGAUCAACGUGGCGAGUGUGGUCGCAGAGUGGGGCUCUACUACUCUGCAUGGGAUUACGCUGUCGGAGGGCAGAGGAAAGGCAUGGAAGAGAGAAAAGCCAGUCUGCUUUCCUCGAAGGCCAGUUUGCACAACCACAUUCCACACAUCAAGAAAAUCAGAGAACCCUGGAACAAAGACGGAGGGGCUGACGGAGAGCCCCAUUUACUUCGACGUUGAAAGAUCAUUAAUAAAAAGUCACACCUCUUCAGUCGAGUGUAAGAGCGUCGGGCCAAAGUCACCCAAGUGGAAGCAGGGAAAGGAAACUAACAUUGGCGAGGGCCUACUACGCGCUACCUACUGUGCUGGUUCCUUCGAACGUAUUUCCUUUCAUUCGUCUGACAACCUUCUUUCUUUGCACUACGGCGUAAACCGAAUGGAAGGCUCAUACGUAUUUGUACCGUGAAGUGUGUGUGCACUGAUCUGUACAUGGUUUGCACAAGCUCCAGAGUGGUGGAUCCAGGUCCUGCGUUUUCUGACCAGCUAACCUGCUUCCCACCCAAGCAGACCACGCUCCAUCCUCCAGCCGCAUCACACUGGCUCCCACGUUGAUGCUAUCACCUGGGGAUCCCUUCUGGGACUCGCCACGGACUAAGGAGACCACAGGUGGCUACGAAGAGGCUUCAUGUGGUGCGCACAGGCUAACAGACAAUGCCUGGGAUGCCCUUUUUGCUCCCACGGCACCGGGGUGGGGGAACUUGGAUGCAAGGACGCUUUGCCUGGGCCGAGAAAUACUGCACUGGGUAGGACAAAACCUCACGGAUGGUGACGAACACACAAAAGCAUUUUUCUCCUACGCUGCCUCAUCUGGAGCUUUAGCUGGAGACCACCCUGGAGGUGUCUUUCACACAAUAAUAAUUAGGAAUUUGGCUCCUGAAAACAAUGCCCUCAGUGAAAACUCCCUUGGCUCUAUCAGGAUGGCUUUCCUUCCAACGAGGUCUAUGUGCUGAUUAUAAGCAUGAAGUCAGGGAAGUUUCCCUUUAUGUCCCCCCUUUGGUUUUUGCUUACUGGAUGCUAGUAAAUUUUAUAAGAGCUGUUCUGCACGGCAGGAACGCAAGGGAUCACAAAAACGAGAAGAGGCCCAAGAUAUGAUCUUGUAUAAGGAAUCAUUUGCCCAUUUUAGCGAUGAGAAAACCCCCAGCUCUGAGAGGUGAGACCACUUGCCUUGCAGCCAACCAGACCCCAGCUCGUGGCUUCUCCCCACCAGCCACACGACAUUCACCGGGGAUGCCCGUGGUUGUUUACGAACUCAAGCAUCCCUGUGGUCCUGCUUCCGUGCAGGAUUUAUGCCGGGGGUCAUAAAGCCAUCUGUCCUCUAGCAAACCACCCCUUCCUUCCACAACUUCCCCAAUCCAAUUUGUGAGUUUGCUAAUUAAGUGCAACACUUUGCAUGUUUCUAAAUCUCCCUGUGGGUGCAAGUGUUAGUGAUUUCGAAUCCACUGAGCAGACAGACCAGGGGAGAAAACCCCACCGAGUGCCGCUGAGGAUGGAGGGAAGUCCUCAGCCCUCAGAGUGUAAAUUAAAUCCAGGCCUUUGUUUUCUGUCUCCCUUCCCUCUCCCCCUCUCGCUUCCUCUGCUUCCCUCCUGACUCUGCUCCUGUCACUUGUGGUAAACACAGCUGGUGGAGUAUUUUAGCUGUGAUGACGUCAGCCUGUUUCUGAUAGGCUUCGGGGUAAAGUGACAAAUCACUGGUGGUGUCGGGGCCCCGCACUUGUGUUUCUACAGCGUGAAACUCCAGCCACCCUUUGGAGCCGAAGCCGCAGACCUGUGAGCAGGCCCUGACAAACACGCUGCCUUCUAAUUUGCACCUUGGCUGUCAGCGAGGAGACUGGUGGUCUGGCGAUGGGAAGGAAAUGAGACUUCCCGCAUGGAAGCCGACUUCACCAUCGUUUAAGCGUUCACUCUGCAAAGGAUCGAGCGAGGCAAACACAGAGAGAUGCUUCCUCUCUAAGAGCUGCCGGGUCGGGUCGAUGUGAAACCUAGAGGUCUGUGAAGCUCCUGAUGACUAUGGAGGCUGCCGGGGCCUUGGAGAUGAGCCCUCAGCUCAGAGCUGCUCUUUACUGGAAGAGAUGCUAGGCCGGAGACAGCAGCAUUUUCAAAAUCACCCCUAUUUCCAUGCCUACCUCUCUUCACAGUAGUGCUUUAAGGAUUAA